rnacentral:rRNA from 1 species
ACUUGUUAGUUGCCAUCAUUCAGUUGGGCACUCUAGCGAGACUGCCGGUAAUAAACCGGAGGAAGGUGGGAUGACGUCAAAUCAUCAUGCCCCUUAUGACCUGGGCUACACACGUGCUACAAUGGUUGGUACAACGAGUUGCGAGUCGGUGACGGCGAGCUAAUCUCUUAAAGCCAAUCUCAGUUCGGAUUGUAGGCUGCAACUCGCCUACAUGAAGUCGGAAUCGCUAGUAAUCGCGGAUCAGCACGCCGCGGUGAAUACGUUCCCGGGCCUU